AAUCCAUAGGUUAAUGAGGCGAACCGGGGGAACUGAAACAUCUAAGUACCCCGAGGAAAAGAAAUCAACCGAGAUUCCCCCAGUAGCGGCGAGCGAACGGGGAGGAGCCCAGAGCCUGAAUCAGCAUGUGUGUUAGUGGAAGCGUCUGGAAAGGCGCGCGAUACAGGGUGACAGCCCCGUACACAAAAGCGCAUGUGCUGUGAGCUCGAUGAGUAGGGCGGGACACGUGGUAUCCUGUCUGAAUAUGGGGGGACCAUCCUCCAAGGCUAAAUACUCCUGACUGACCGAUAGUGAACCAGUACCGUGAGGGAAAGGCGAAAAGAACCCCGGCGAGGGGAGUGAAAAAGAACCUGAAACCGUGUACGUACAAGCAGUGGGAGCACCCUUCGGGGUGUGACUGCGUACCUUUUGUAUAAUGGGUCAGCGACUUAUAUUCUGUAGCAAGGUUAACCGAAUAGGGGAGCCGGAGGGAAACCGAGUCUUAAUUGGGCGUUAAGUUGCAGGGUAUAGACCCGAAACCCGGUGAUCUAGCCAUGGGCAGGUUGAAGGUUGGGUAACACUAACUGGAGGACCGAACCGACUAAUGUUGAAAAAUUAGCGGAUGACCUGUGGCUGGGGGUGAAAGGCCAAUCAAACCGGGAGAUAGCUGGUUCUCCCCGAAAGCUAUUUAGGUAGCGCCUCGUGAAUUCAUCUCCGGGGGUAGAGCACUGUUUCGGCUAGGGGGCCAUCCCGGCUUACCAACCCGAUGCAAACUGCGAAUACCGGAGAAUGUUAUCACGGGAGACACACGGCGGGUGCUAACGUCCGUCGUGAAGAGGGAAACAACCCAGACCGCCAGCUAAGGUCCCAAAGUCAUGGUUAAGUGGGAAACGAUGUGGGAAGGCCCAGACAGCCAGGAUGUUGGCUUAGAAGCAGCCAUCAUUUAAAGAAAGCGUAAUAGCUCACUGGUCGAGUCGGCCUGCGCGGAAGAUGUAACGGGGCUAAACCAUGCACCGAAGCUGCGGCAGCGAACGUAUCACCCAAGACAACUUUGCGGAGUUGACGAUUGACGGAGCGAAGCGACGUCAAAGCGUUCAUUAAAGUCGAGUUGGCUUAGGGAUACGUUCGUUGGGUAGGGGAGCGUUCUGUAAGCCUGUGAAGGUGUGCUGUGAGGCAUGCUGGAGGUAUCAGAAGUGCGAAUGCUGACAUAAGUAACGAUAAAGCGGGUGAAAAGCCCGCUCGCCGGAAGACCAAGGGUUCCUGUCCAACGUUAAUCGGGGCAGGGUGAGUCGACCCCUAAGGCGAGGCCGAAAGGCGUAGUCGAUGGGAAACGGGUUAAUAUUCCCGUACUUGGUGUUACUGCGAAGGGGGGACGGAGAAGGCUAUGUUGGCCGGGCGACGGUUGUCCCGGUUUAAGCGUGUAGGUGUGUGUUCCAGGUAAAUCCGGUUCACUUUAACACUGAGGCGUGACGACGAGGCACUACGGUGCUGAAGCAACAAAUGCCCUGCUUCCAGGAAAAGCCUCUAAGCAUCAGGUAACAUCAAAUCGUACCCCAAACCGACACAGGUGGUCAGGUAGAGAAUACCAAGGCGCUUGAGAGAACUCGGGUGAAGGAACUAGGCAAAAUGGUGCCGUAA
rnacentral:rRNA from 1 species